UUCACGGGGAGUUUGAUCCUGGCUCAGGACGAACGCUGGCGGCGUGCUUAACACAUGCAAGUCGAACGAUCGAACCACUUGGUGGGAUUAGUGGCGAACGGGUGACGUAACACGUGGGCAAAUCGUGCCCCUGCACUCUGGGACAAGCCCUGGAAAACGGGGUCUAAAUACCCGGAAUACAAACCACUAGGGGCAAUCUCGUUGGUGGUAGAAAGCUCCGGCGUGCAGAUGAAGCCCGCGGCCUAGUCAGCUUGUUGGUGAGGUAAUGGCUCACCAAGGCGA
rnacentral:ncRNA from 1 species